AGUUGAUUCUUUACCAAUCAUAUCGGGUGCAGGGGUAUCCCAAAUAUAGGAGACUUUCUCCUAUGUGAGAAUAAUUCUCAAGUUUCUUAACUAGUCCACAUAAUUGGGUUCGGUCAACUUGUUGGCAUCAGAUAUACCAUGCAGUGAAAGUGAGGAUGCCAUUAUGUAGAUUAAUUUACAAUAAUAAGGAACCAAUAUAAGCAGACA
rnacentral:lncRNA from 1 species